UCUACCCUCCCCCUCUACAAAGGCCCGUGCGGCCCUGUCCGUCCGACCUCGACGGACACGACCAUCCGGGCAGACGCGGCCAUCAUGGAUCACGAGAACGCCGGCGCCACCGGCGCCUUGGAUGCAUCGCCCGUCACCACCACGAUGGCACCUCGCUGCUGCCGCUCGGCAUGGAUGGCCGCCCCAAGACAUGGAUAAGCUCUCGUGAUCCCCACCCCACCCCUCUCAUCCCCUGAAUCCGUAUCCUCUGCUCGUGCUCUCCUGUUCCUCCUGAAACGACGAGGGGUAGUGCCGGCCGUGGCUCAGCAAGAUAGCAUAAUUAAGCUUGCCCUUUUUCUUUUGUGUUUGAAUCAGAUUUGCUGGUUCUCAGUUUUACAUGCACGUAUCAAUCUUUCUUCUGUAUGCAGGUUACACACCUGAUGAUUUUUACAACCUCUUCUGCAGAUCUUCAGAACACCGAGCGAAAUAUUGGCUUGGAACGAUCUUGGGUUGGCAGGGCGGCCAGACCAGGUGGCAAAUGUGGUGCACGAGUCAACCUCACAUCAUACUGUGGUGUCUAGGAUGGGCGUGGUGUAACAUGACGCUUUCUAGAAGCAUGUUAUCGAACAUCUCCACAGAAUCACGAGCUUGCCUAAUUCCCAAAGCAUGUUAUCAUAAGGAUGAGUACGGAGGACAACUCUCUCAAUUCCCAAAGCACUAAUCUUGUCCUAAUUGCUCAUAUAUUGAAUCACUUUUCGCUGCAAAUAUGUUUUCUGUUUGAUGAGCUAGAAGAUGCUUGGAGGCUAAGGACAAAGAGGAUCUGACGUUCACGUUUUUGGGAGGCAAUAAGUACUUUGUGCACUUUGGCUGUGGAUAUGGGUACACAUUCUUGAUGUCUCGAUGAAUUGGAGAACAGAUGUAAUGGUACGUGCUCUAUGCAAGGACAUGAGAACAAUCCUCCAAAUUGAACUACGUGAUGGGAGAGUAGGUAGGAAACUUUGUUCGUGUACGGGUUGCUUUUCCUGUAUAUAGCGGGCGCUGGAAAUUUCAGUUGCGAUGAUAGCAAGGAUCAAGGAAAAGAGAACAAGGGUGGGGCUUAAACUUCAGUACGGGUGCUUGCCGUGGUUCUGCUAUGCAUGUGGCUACAUCGGGCAUCAGGUCAUGUCUUGUGCGCGUAAGUUCAGGUGGUGAACCUGUAUGCUGACGACUGCGAUGCUUACCACCGAGGAAGUUCGUGCAGCAAGCAGGAAGCACCUUGGACAAAUUUUGGAAAGAGGAGCAUGACUCGGAGGUAUGAGCCCCAGCAAGGGCCAUCACAGCUGCGCUGACAAGCAAGUGUAAGUUGGUGAUGGUGCCACCGUGUCAGAGUUCGGAGACUACCCUUGGAAGCACAAAUUGGACAAAGUGCCUUGUGCCACUGGUGUUUCAACACCAGGGAUGUGAUUUUGCUCUAUAGUUUGCAGUACAUUAGACAAUUUUGUAUGCUAUUCAGUAAUUAAUGCUAAAGUUUAUUCCUACAGCUUGUACUUGAACAGGUCCCUGUUUACCGAUGGCGAAAACUCAUCCUUGAUCUAGCUUACUUCUGCAAAUGUUGACCAACAGACAAUUCUCUUCAUGCUUUAUUCAUAACAUCAAAUUUCUCAACCUGAUGGCAUCUGUCAAGGAUCUCUAAAGCCGAUGGAUUAAACUUGUGUUUUUCUCGUGUGUUCAGUAUACAUGGUUAUCUUCGUAGGCUAAUUUCACUUUUGAUGAACUGAUGAUAAAGCGACAAUGGAAUCAGAAGGGUGAGGGAUGCGGGAGUGGUUGACAAUGAGGUGGCCCUGUCUAAGGGCACCCAGUAGACUGAGAAAGGAACAUUGUUUCUGUAACACAAUGAUAUUUAGACUUUCAGAGCACCCCCUGCACUACGUGAGAUUUAGAAGGUGGUACGGCCGGCGGAUGCAUCCAUGUGCUAAUCAUCUGGCACCAAGCGGAUGGAGCCGUACGAGUUGGGGCCACCAGCUGGCUGACAGCGCACACAUGGGCGAGCAUGAGCAACAUGGAGCUAGGGAGUAAGCUGGGAGCGGAUGGACGGGGCGUGAGGUAGAACGGGGGUGGGGAGCGGGCGGACCGUGGACAGAAGAGAACAACACCGGGUUUGUUAAUUACUUUAUGCACGAUCACAGAUUUAUCUCUUUAUUUAUGUGGCUUAUCAGGCUUGCUGCACGAUCACAGAUUUAUCUCUUUAUUUAUGUAGGUGGACAGAAACAUCCUUUCUAAAGUUUUCUUGGGGCUGUACUGACGAACAACUUGUGCAGUGAUACCAACCCCUUCGAGCUCCCUCAACCCUUCGACAACACUUAUUCAGUUUCUCACCACAAGUAGUAAGAGACAUGAUCAGAUCGCUAACCAGUGAUGAAGGCGUUAUGUGGUCGUUGACGUCAUGCUAAAUGUUGGUGUAGUGCCAAAUAAGAAGAUACGGAACAAAAUCCCUAAGCUAGACAUUAUGCGUGGAUGUAGGUGGAUGUGGGCGCUGUGGCCGCCACCAAGGAUGUAGGGGUCGCGCCCCAAGCUGCAAGUACGUGGUAGGGCGUCAAAACUGACGAGGACACGGGAGCCGCACUGCAGCAUGAGUGUUUUUCAUAAUUUAUUUAGUGGUGAAAUUUUCAGGCCUAUGAACUGGAUGAUAUUUUCAUUGCUGGCAAUCUUCAUCAACCUAUCUACGAGGACAUUGAUAUACUAAUUGCUGCACAAGUGUUCUCAGCACCGGCUAGCAAGAAGAGAGUAUGAUUGUUCAAUGCUCACUGUUGUAAGCUUGUUUCACGAGGAGCUUCUCAGUGUUGUACAUGUAGGGUGUGGAUAAUAUAAAUAAAAUCUAUUUGUUCA